rnacentral:rRNA from 1 species
CACGAAGGGUUUCGGCCUUAGUGGCGGACGGGUGAGUAACGCGUAGGUAUCUAUCCAUGGGUGGGGGAUAACACUGGGAAACUGGUGCUAAUACCGCAUGACACCUGAGGGUCAAAGGCGUAAGUCGCCUGUGGAGGAGCCUGCGUUUGAUUAGCUAGUUGGUGGGGUAAAGGCCUACCAAGGCGAUGAUCAAUAGCUGGUUUGAGAGGAUGAUCAGCCACACUGGGACUGAGACACGGCCCAGACUCCUACGGGAGGCAGCAGUGGGGAAUAUUGGACAAUGGGGGCAACCCUGAUCCAGCAAUGCCGCGUGUGUGAAGAAGGUCUUCGGAUUGUAAAGCACUUUCGACGGGGACGAUGAUGACGGUACCCGUAGAAGAAGCCCCGGCUAACUUCGUGCCAGCAGCCGCGGUAAUACGAAGGGGGCUAGCGUUGCUCGGAAUGACUGGGCGUAAAGGGCGUGUAGGCGGUUUGUACAGUCAGAUGUGAAAUCCCCGGGCUUAACCUGGGAGCUGCAUUUGAUACGUGCAGACUAGAGUGUGAGAGAGGGUUGUGGAAUUCCCAGUGUAGAGGUGAAAUUCGUAGAUAUUGGGAAGAACACCGGUGGCGAAGGCGGCAACCUGGCUCAUUACUGACGCUGAGGCGCGAAAGCGUGGGGAGCAAACAGGAUUAGAUACCCUGGUAGUCCACGCUGUAAACGAUGUGUGCUAGAUGUUGGGUGACUUAGUCAUUCAGUGUCGCAGUUAACGCGUUAAGCACACCGCCUGGGGAGUACGGCCGCAAGGUUGAAACUCAAAGG